rnacentral:tRNA from 1 species
GCUCGAGUGGCGAAAUGGUAGACGCAAGGGACUUAAAAUCCCUUGGGAGUAUUCCCGUGCUGGUUCAAGUCCAGUCUCGAGCA